CAAUAGCGUAUAUUUAAGUUGUUGCAGUUAAAAAGCUCGUGGUUGGAUUUCGGAUGGGAUUUGCCGGUCCGUCGUUACGAUGUGCACUGGCCAGUCCUAUCUUGUUGUCGGGGACUAGCUCCUUGGAUUCACUUCCUGGGACUAGGAGCUGACGAGGUUACUUUGAGUAAAUUAGAGUGUUCAAAGCAAGCCUACGCUCUGAAUACAUUAGCAUGGAAUAACACGAUAGGACUCUGGCUUAUCUUGUUGGUCUGUGAGACCAGAGUAAUGAUUAAGAGGGACAGUCGGGGACAUUCGUAUUUCAUUGUCAGAGGUGAAAUUCUUGGAUUUAUGAAAGACGAACUUCUGCGAAAGCAUUUGUCAAGGAUGUUUUCAUUAA
rnacentral:rRNA from 1 species